GAUGAACGCUGGCGGCGUGCCUAAUACAUGUAAGUCGAGCGAAUGGAUUAAGAGCUUGCUCUUAUGAAGUUAGCGGCGGACGGGUGAGUAACACGUGGGUAACCUGCCCAUAAGACUGGGAUAACUCCGGGAAACCGGGGCUAAUACCGGAUAACGUUUUGAACCGCAUGGUUCGAAAUUGACAGGCGGCUCCGGCUGUCACUUAUGGAUGGACCCGCGUCGCAUUAGCCAGUUGGUGAGGUAACGGCUCACCAAGGCAACGAUGCGUAGCCGACCUGAGAGGGUGAUCGGCCACACUGGGACUGAGACACGGCCCAGACUCCUACGGGAGGCAGCAGUAGGGAAUCUUCCGCAAUGGACGAAAGUCUGACGGAGCAACGCCGCGUGAGUGAUGAAGGCUUUCGGGUCGUAAAACUCUGUUGUUAGGGAAGAACAAGUGCUAGUUGAAUAAGCUGGCACCUUGACGGUACCUAACCAGAAAGCCACGGCUAACUACGUGCCAGCCGCCGCGGUAA
rnacentral:rRNA from 1 species